CUCGAACCCACCCAUAAACAUUUUUCGUCCCGCCCACCCUAAACUGGAAAAAUGGCGACAGCUGUUUUGCGAUUCUCUCGGACACUCGUAUCGAGAAAUACGGCGAUAGUAAGCCGUAACACCGUCUUGAAACCGUCCCACACUCCAAGACAGAACCAACUUCGAACUGCCGUAUCAACAGCAAAUGGCGGUGUUCUACCAAAGCCGGAUAAAGUAUCCUUUGGCCUGAUUCGCAUGACCGCUGUAGUGAUCCCCUUCCUGUAUGUGGGCACUCUGAUCAGCAAGAACUUUGCGGCUCUACUGGAGGAGCAUGACAUCUUCGUCCCUGAGGAUGAUGAUGACGACGACUGAACCAAGGCCAGUGAUGAUAAGAAAGGAAUUGCAAGGUGCUUUGCAAUAAUGAUGGCUUGUCUGUUGCCUUGUUGGAGAGGAUCAAAACUACUGCAGGCGACUGCCGACUUAUCUACAAAUAACCUUGCAUCAUAUAUGAUGACUUAUGAUUAUUUAUAGAUAUGUAAAACAUUUUUUAAUCCUCUCAAACACGACCAGUAUGAUUGAGAGAGAGAUGCCACCACUACAGGAGAAGAUGACCUAUGACCUCGUCCGGCUCCGCUCAUCCUUUGCCUUUCCUAUUAUGAAAUUGUCUUCCCAUUGUCGCCUGCUUAUCACCGUGAAUACUACAUAUUGUUUUAAGUUAUUGUGAGGCCAAAUCACAACUAGCCUCCUCACUUACUCGCAUGUGUCUUAAUAAAUUGAUACUCUAUGGAAAAAAAA